rnacentral:tRNA from 1 species
GGCUUAGUGGUCGAAUGGUAAGGCGCUCGUCUUGGAGCCAGAGGUUACUGGGUUCGAUCCCCAACAGGGUCG